GGUUAAGCGACUAAGCGUACACGGUGGAUGCCCUGGCAGUCAGAGGCGAUGAAGGACGUGCUAAUCUGCGAAAAGCGCCGGCGAGGUGAUAUGAACCCUUGACCCGGCGAUGUCCGAAUGGGGAAACCCAGUGUGUUCCGACACACUAUCGUUAACUGAAUACAUAGGUUAACGAGGCGAACCGGGGGAACUGAAACAUCUAAGUACCCCGAGGAAAAGAAAUCAACCGAGAUUCCCCCAGUAGCGGCGAGCGAACGGGGAGCAGCCCGGAGUCUGAAUCAGCUUGUGUGUUAGUGGAACGGUCUGGAAAGUCCGACGGUACAGGGUGAUAGUCCCGUACACGAAAACACACUUGCUGUGAACUCGAAGAGUAGGGCGGGACACGUGGUAUCCUGUCUGAAUAUGGGGGGACCAUCCUCCAAGGCUAAAUACUCCUGACUGACCGAUAGUGAACCAGUACCGUGAGGGAAAGGCGAAAAGAACCCCGGCGAGGGGAGUGAAAAAGAACCUGAAACCGUGUACGUACAAGCAGUGGGAGCACCUUCGGGUGUGACUGCGUACCUUUUGUAUAAUGGGUCAGCGACUUAUAUUCUGUAGCAAGGUUAACCGUAUAGGGGAGCCGAAGGGAAACCGAGUCUUAACUGGGCGUUAAGUUGCAGGGUAUAGACCCGAAACCCGGUGAUCUAGCCAUGGGCAGGUUGAAGGUUGGGUAACACUAACUGGAGGACCGAACCGACUAAUGUUGAAAAAUUAGCGGAUGACCUGUGGCUGGGGGUGAAAGGCCAAUCAAACCGGGAGAUAGCUGGUUCUCCCCGAAAGCUAUUUAGGUAGCGCCUCGUGAACUCAUCUUCGGGGGUAGAGCACUGUUUCGGCUAGGGGGCCAUCCCGGCUUACCAACCCGAUGCAAACUACGAAUACCGAAGAAUGUUAUCACGGGAGACACACGGCGGGUGCUAACGUCCGUCGUGAAGAGGGAAACAACCCAGACCGCCAGCUAAGGUCCCAAAGUCAUGGUUAAGUGGGAAACGAUGUGGGAAGGCACAGACAGCCAGGAUGUUGGCUUAGAAGCAGCCAUCAUUUAAAGAAAGCGUAAUAGCUCACUGGUCGAGUCGGCCUGCGCGGAAGAUGUAACGGGGCUAAACCAUGCACCGAAGCUGCGGCAGCGACGCUUAUGCGUUGUUGGGUAGGGGAGCGUUCUGUAAGCCGUUGAAGGUGUGCUGUGAGGCAUGCUGGAGGUAUCAGAAGUGCGAAUGCUGACAUAAGUAACGAUAAAGCGGGUGAAAAGCCCGCUCGCCGGAAGACCAAGGGUUCCUGUCCAACGUUAAUCGGGGCAGGGUGAGUCGACCCCUAAGGCGAGGCCGAAAGGCGUAGUCGAUGGGAAACAGGUUAAUAUUCCUGUACUUGGUGUUACUGCGAAGGGGGGACGGAGAAGGCUAUGUCAGCCGGGCGACGGUUGUCCCGGUUUAAGCAUGUAGGCGGAGGUUCCAGGUAAAUCCGGUACCUUUUAACGCUGAGGUGUGAUGACGAGGCACUACGGUGCUGAAGUGAUAAAUGCCCUGCUUCCAGGAAAAGCCUCUAAGCAUCAGGUAACACGAAAUCGUACCCCAAACCGACACAGGUGGUCAGGUAGAGAAUACCAAGGCGCUUGAGAGAACUCGGGUGAAGGAACUAGGCAAAAUGGUGCCGUAACUUCGGGAGAAGGCACGCUGAUAUGUAGGUGAAGCCCCUGCGGGCGGAGCUGAAAUCAGUCGAAGAUACCAGCUGGCUGCAACUGUUUAUUAAAAACACAGCACUGUGCAAACACGAAAGUGGACGUAUACGGUGUGACGCCUGCCCGGUGCCGGAAGGUUAAUUGAUGGGGUUAGCGGCAACGCGAAGCUCUUGAUCGAAGCCCCGGUAAACGGCGGCCGUAACUAUAACGGUCCUAAGGUAGCGAAAUUCCUUGUCGGGUAAGUUCCGACCUGCACGAAUGGCGUAAUGAUGGCCAGGCUGUCUCCACCCGAGACUCAGUGAAAUUGAACUCGCUGUGAAGAUGCAGUGUACCCGCGGCAAGACGGAAAGACCCCGUGAACCUUUACUAUAGCUUGACACUGAACACUGGUCCUUGAUGUGUAGGAUAGGUGGGAGGCUUUGAAGCGUGGACGCCAGUCUGCGUGGAGCCGCCCUUGAAAUACCACCCUUUAAUGGCUGGUGUUCUAACGUAGACCCGUGAUCCGGGUUGCGGACAGUGUCUGGUGGGUAGUUUGACUGGGGCGGUCUCCUCCCAAAGAGUAACGGAGGAGCACGAAGGUUGGCUAAUCCUGGUCGGACAUCAGGAGGUUAGUGCAAUGGCAUAAGCCAGCUUGACUGCGAGCGUGACGGCGCGAGCAGGUGCGAAAGCAGGUCAUAGUGAUCCGGUGGUUCUGAAUGGAAGGGCCAUCGCUCAACGGAUAAAAGGUACUCCGGGGAUAACAGGCUGAUACCGCCCAAGAGUUCAUAUCGACGGCGGUGUUUGGCACCUCGAUGUCGGCUCAUCACAUCCUGGGGCUGAAGUAGGUCCCAAGGGUAUGGCUGUUCGCCAUUUAAAGUGGUACGCGAGCUGGGUUUAGAACGUCGUGAGACAGUUCGGUCCCUAUCUGCCGUGGGCGCUGGAGAAUUGAGGGGGGCUGCUCCUAGUACGAGAGGACCGGAGUGGACGCAUCACUGGUGUUCGGGUUGUCAUGCCAAUGGCACUGCCCGGUAGCUAAAUGCGGAAGAGAUAAGUGCUGAAAGCAUCUAAGCACGAAACUUGCCCCGAGAUGAGUUCUCCCUGAGACCUUGAGUCUCCUGAAGGAACGUUGAAGACGACGACGUUGAUAGGUCGGGUGUGUAAGCGCAGCGAUGCGUUGAGCUAACCGAUACUAAUGAACCGUGAGGCUUAACCUU
rnacentral:rRNA from 1 species